rnacentral:rRNA from 1 species
UACGGAGGUUGCAAGCGUUGUUCGGAAUUACUGGGCGUAAAGGGAGCGCAGGCGGUUAGGUCAGUCUGAAGUGAAAGCCCGGGGCUCAACCCCGGAAGUGCUCUGGAUACUGCCUAACUUGAGUACGUGAGAGGAGAGCGGAAUUCCAGGUGUAGCGGUGAAAUGCAUAGAUAUCUGGAGGAACACCGGUGGCGAAAGCGGCUCUCUGGCACGCUACUGACGCUGAGGCUCGAAAGCGUGGGGAGCGAAC